rnacentral:rRNA from 1 species
UACGUAGGGGGCAAGCGUUGUCCGGAAUCAUUGGGCGUAAAGCGCGUGUAGGCGGCUUCGUAAGUCCGUUGUGAAAGUCCAGGGCUCAACCCUGGAAUGCCGAUGGAUACUGCGGAGCUAGAGUCCGGAAGAGGCGAGUGGAAUUCCUGGUGUAGCGGUGAAAUGCGCAGAUAUCAGGAGGAACACCAAUGGCGAAGGCAGCUCGCUGGGACGGUACUGACGCUGAGACGCGAAAGCGUGG